CUGUGGAUCAUGCAAAACCCAGGAGAAAUACCUUCUUGGUCCAUGUAGCCUCCCAUGCACCGCCCGAUCCAUGCAUGGGGCAUGGACUGCAUGAAAACUUCUCACGGGCCUCCCCACGUGUCCGCUAGGCUGGCCUGUACACGUCUGCAUGCAUCUGUGCUGGGCCUGUUCUUAAAAAAAUAAUGUGAUUAUGAGUCAU
rnacentral:lncRNA from 1 species